AUGACCGAACUGUGCACCGAAUUGGGAAAACGAUUCUGAAAUCAAAGCGGGAAUAAAGACCUGGAGUGAUAAGGUGCGCUGAAGUUGGGGUAGCUAGUUAGGAAACACCCCUAUGCAUGUAAAUGAUUAAUUGUGAUUGAAUAGGUUAAGUGCUCCUGUUUGUUUGUGAUCACUGACCUAUUCUUGUGUUGUAGAAAGUCUUGUUAGACUAUUGAUAGCAAAAUAAGUGCUUAGGACCAGGCUGCGACCGCUGAGGAAAAAGGAAAGUCCCAUCAGGACGCCACGACCUCGAAAGAGAAGUUCAAGCAGGUUCCCCUCUAGUAAGUUGCAGUUCGGUGUUGAGCCAAGAGAAGGCUGUUGAAUUUUGACAUAACCCGAUCCGAUGAGGACGGGGAGUGAUCGCCGGGGCAGAACCUGAUCAAGGAGCGGCUCUUGGCUAGGAAGUGGACGCCGGGGCAAGAAGCCUGAUCAAGGUGCGGCUUCUAGCAAGAGUGGUCGCCGGGGGUAAAGACCUGAAUAAGGUGUGGCUCCUGGUAGGCUUCUAGGAUGGCGGGUAAGAAAAGGAAUAAACCGAACUAGGUACUGAAUUGAAAUUAAGAUGGGAACUGUUACUUGAAAUGAUAAGUGUGAUCUUCGUGAUUGUUAUAAGUAAGUAAAUUAUGUUUGAGUAAGAUUUUAUCAGAGUAGCGCAGCGGAAGCGUGGACAAGCUUGCUGCACUCUAGUAUGUUGGAUCGAGGUCGAGGAAAGAAAGGUCGCUGGUCCAGAGCUAGUCCACAUUACAGUGGAUGCUGUAAAGGUACUAAGGUACAUGUUGUGUUCUAUGUAUUGAUAUUGUGAAAGUGUGAGCCCGAUCCGGCACGCGUGCUGAAUUUUUCGACGAGGUCGAAGUGGACAGCAGAGUGUCCUAUGCUGAGGAGUAGGUGCGGAUCGUGGAUUGUAAGGAGCAAGUGUUGAGAGAUAAGGCCAUUCUCUUAGUUAAGGUCCUAUAGUGUCACCGGGGCAUAAAAGAAGCCACCUGGGAGAGUUAGGAAUUGAGGAAAAGUUGAUACCUGCAUUUGUUCGAGGAACCAGGUCCAUAGGAUGGUCGAACGGACGGCGGCGACAGGGGGAGUUUGAGCCAUGUUGGAGUUCGGGGAAAGUUAGGAGCUGUGAAUCCGAAGUAGUGGGCUUAGGACACCCAAGCCAUAACGUUUGUUGUGUAAAUGGCUA